GCGGCUGAUUAGCUUGUUGGUGAGGUAAUGGCUCACCAAGGCGACGAUCAGUAGCUGGUCUGAGAGGAUGAUCAGCCACACUGGAACUGAGACACGGUCCAGACUCCUACGGGAGGCAGCAGUGGGGAAUAUUGGACAAUGGGCGAAAGCCUGAUCCAGCCAUGCCGCGUGAGUGACGAAGGCCUUCGGGUUGUAAAGCUCUUUUAAUAGGGAAGAUAAUGACGGUACCUAUAGAAUAAGCUCCGGCUAACUCCGUGCCAGCAGCCGCGGUAAUACGGAGGGGGCUAGCGUUGUUCGGAAUUACUGGGCGUAAAGAGUACGUAGGCGGAUUACCAAGUCAGAUGUGAAAUCCCGGGGCUUAACCUCGGAACUGCAUUUGAAACUGGUAGUCUAGAGAAUGAUAGAGGUAAGUGGAAUUCCUAGUGUAGGGGUGAAAUCCGUAGAUAUUAGGAGGAACAUCGAUGGCGAAGGCAGCUUACUGGGUCAUUUCUGACGCUGAGGUACGAAAGCGUGGGUAGCAAACAGGAUUAGAUACCCUGGUAGUCCACGCCGUAAACGAUGGGUGCUAGUUGUUGGCCUUUAAGGUCGGUGACGUAGCUAACGCGUUAAGCACCCCGCCUGGGGAGUACGGUCGCAAGAUUAAAACUCAAAGGAAUUGACGGGGACCCGCACAAGCGGUG
rnacentral:rRNA from 1 species